GGAGAUGUAGCUCAGUGGUAGAGCGUUCGACUGCAGAUCGAAGGGUCAGUGGUUCAAAUCCGCUCAUCUCCU
rnacentral:tRNA from 1 species